rnacentral:lncRNA from 1 species
GUCAACGGCGUGAACCUCCACGUGGCGGAGAGCGGCGAGGGCCCGCUCGUCCUCCUCAUCCACGGCUUCCCGGAGCUCUGGUACACGUGGCGCCACCAGAUCCUCGGCCUCGCCGCGCUCGGCUUCCGCGCCGUCGCCCCCGACCUCCGCGGCUACGGGGACUCCGACGCCCCGGCGGCGGCGGACGCCUACACGGCCCUCCACGUGGUGGGCGACCUGGUGGGCCUCCUGGAUGCGGAGGGGGAGGAGAAGGCGUUCGUGGUGGCCCACGACUGGGGGGCCCUGAUGGCGUGGUACCUGUGCCUGCUCCGGCCCGACCGGGUCAAGGCUAUGGUCAGCCUCAGCGUGCCGUGGAUGCCCCGGAACCCCGGGAUGAAGCCCCUCGACGGCUACAGGGCCGCCUAUGGCGAUGAUUACUACAUGUGCAGAUUCCAGGUUCAGGGGUCUUUCUUGUUUUGUUGUUGUGUUGUUUUCUUUUCCUGUUGUUGCUUGCAUCUUGGGUUUUCUCUGGCCGAUUGGAUGCACUCGUGGAACGUCUCAGCAAUGAAUUUCGAAUUGCAGAGCUCAAAAUGCUGCUGCUUACCAUGUCUAGAAGGAUGAGUAAUCUUAACAAGUGUCUCUCUUUAACAGAUUCUGCUUUCUAUACCCAUGGUUUUCCUAUAUGUUGUAGCGUUGCUUGGCUUAAAGGUCAUAUCUCCAGAUGCUGGACUUGCAAAUCAUGUCUUGCAGAUUUAUAGGAAGUUUAAUCUGGUGUUAAUAAGUUUGGACUUUCUCCGGUAUGCCUGGUUGCCACAUGACUUCUUUAAACACCUAACCGGGUUGUCAUAUGGAGUUUUUGCACUGCGUAUGAUUUCAGGAACAUGGGACGGGGUUUGUUUUAGGUACUGAUCAUCUCGAGCUGAGUUAGAAUCAAGUGAACAUAACGAUCUUGAACUUAUUUGAUUUUUGUGUAGAGAUCUAUUGUGACAGCAGUAAAAUCAAAUCGAGUACAUUUUAGAUUGCAUAGAGAGCCACCAUAAUUGUUAUAGCAUAAUUUCGUUAAAUGCAGGAACCUGGAGAGAUCGAGGCCCAGUUUGCAGAGAUGGGAACCAGGAGAGUCAUCGAGGGGUUCUUGACAUACCGCAUUCCUGGCCCGCUUUUCUUUGUGAAAGGGAAAGGGUUCGGGCACCCGGUGGACGACCCGGUCGUCUUGCCUUCGUGGCUGACACAGGAGGACAUUGACUAUUAUGUCGACAAGUUUGAGGAGAAGGGCUUCACUGGAGGGAUCAACUACUACAGGAACUUGAACCGGUAAGCUACUACUUUCUAUGGGACGAUCAAUCUGAUCUCUUGGGUGUAUGGGCACAAGAGGAGGGAGGAGAUCGCAUUGGGCUGUGAGAAUCAUUGAGUUGACCCAAAAGCUACUGUCUCCUUGAAUCGCAUUGCUUUGAAAUUCCGUGUUUUUAGAUAUACUCCUCUCUGCACUGUGCAAUCUAUGAUCUGAAGGGAAGGGCGUCUAUUUCUUUUCACCAAUUUAUUAGCUACCGUUUCAGCAUGAUUUUCACCGGAUUGAUUAGUAUAGCAGGCUAAUAGGAAAGUUGGAAUCAAGGAGUUUCUCUUGAUCAGUGGCACACAGAUCUGAUCCCUCCAGUUGUAUAAUGUUGACAAUUUUACCUGGGAGUAUCUUUGUGCAAUUCAUUCCUCAAGUGUGCUUUUUUCCUUGCUUCUUCUGAAUUUAUAUAUAUAUUUUUUGUAUUGACUAUUGCAGGAACUGGGAGCUGAUGGCACCAUGGGAUGGGGUUCAGGUGAAAGUGCCUGUAAAGUUCAUUGUGGGUGAGCUUGACCUGGUUUACCACAUGCCAGGCGUCAAGGACUUCAUACACAAAGGUGGGCUCAAGAAGACGGUCCCUCUCUUGGAGGAAGUGGUGGUCAUGGAAGGUGUGGCCCAUUUCCUCAACCAAGAGAGGCCCCAGGACACCACCCAACACAUUUAUGAUUUCCUUAGCAAGUUUUGAGAUUGCUUCUUGCCCCAUCAUGCGACAGGUCGGGGUCCUCAUAAAGUCUGUCCUCUAUGUAUGGCAUUGUAUGGUAACGUUGAUAAUGCAAGCUAUGACAACGUAUCAAUAUAAAAUUACUUUUGUCCACGUAACAGUUAAAAAAAAAAAAAAAUCGUUAUCCUAGUGUAUGAUAUAUCGCCACAUUAAGUGCAGAAAAUUAGGGCCUGCAUGGUUGGCACUUAUUUCUGUUCCCAGGAACAGAAAUUUCUGUUUUUUUGUUCCUGGGAACAAAAAAGGAACAGAAACGCGUUUGUGUGCGUUUCUGUUCCUUUUUUGUUCUUUUGUUCCCAGGAACAAAAAAGAAACAGAAACAAGAAACACAAAUCAGAAACACUUUGUUUUUUUUUCUUUUUUUUCUUAUUUUUUGUUCUUCUUUCUUUUGGCCGGGCGAUUGAUUUUAAUGUAUUGGUCAUGAGUCCUCACUAGGUGAUUGUUUAUCAUUAAUGAUAUAAGCUAGACCAAUACACGUUGGCGAGCAAGCUUGAGCUCCAGGGCACAUAUCAUUAAGUUCAAUCUCUAGUGAUCGGACCAUUACUUUAGGGUGGCUCUAUCCCUCUUUGUAUGAUAUAGUUCAUUCAAUCCCUUGGCAUGAUUAGCUUAAUUAAACUAUAGAUAGAUUUUUGUUGUUUUGUAGCAGAACAUUCUACCAAUGCAUGUAUUUAGACAAUGUGUUCGUCCGUGGAUUCUCAUCGAUAAUGUAUUCUUUCCACCAUGUAUACUGGUGACANNNNNNNNNNNNNNNNNNNNNNNNNNNNNNNNNNNNNNNNNNNNNNNNNNNNNNNNNNNNNNNNNNNNNNNNNNNNNNNNNNNNNNNNNNNNNNNNNNNNAAAAAGAAAAAAAGAAAAAAAGGAAAAAUAAGAAAAAAAAAUUAGAAAAAAUAAAAGAAAUAAAAAAAUUAUCCAAAUUUACCAAACAUGUUUCUGUUUAUUUUUUAUUCCCGGAACAAGUUUACCAAACGCGUAUUUUUGUUCAAAAAUUGUUCCCCGGAACAGAAAUAUUUUUUUCUAUUUCUGUUCCCUGGAACAAUUUUUAAACAGAAACACAACCAAACGCGCCCUUAGUGUCUUUUAAGGCUGCAUUUGAUGAUUUUCAACUAUACACAUCGUAAUUGAGUGGUUUAACUGUGUACCUCUCCUGGAGGACCAGUUCACGUGUAUGAUCAUAUAUGUCAAUCACGUACAACACACGACACUAUGGUCUAAUCCAACAUGAAAUGGGAACAAAGAGGAAACGAGCUCGAACAAGGCACAAGGCUCUCGGCAAAGCAUGGUGUUGUCCUUGGCUGCGUCUCUUCAAGCGAGAUUCCAACGUACGCAAACGAUCAACAUGAAAAAUGGCUACAUAAGGUAUCAAACACCCUAAAAUGAUGAGAUAUGACAAGUACUAACUACUUUCGUGCUCUCGACUCAAGCCCCGUAGUCGCUAUUUCCUCUUGCCACUUCUUCUGAUAGAGGUUCCAGUUUACCGGCACUAACAUCUUUUUAUGUAUUACUUCCAUGUUCUUGAGCAGAACCCAAGCCCCGUAGGCCCUUGAGACGUGCCAGCACCUCCUGGAGUACUCGAUCGACGACCUCCAGAGUUCCUUCGAGAGGCUGGGUGCGUUCGAUGUGAGCAAUCUCGACAAGUACAUGGCCGACCUGCACGUCUGGCUCAGCGGGGCCAUCACAUUCCAGGAGAGCUGCCUCGAUGGCUUCGAGAACACGACUGGUGCAGCCGUGAAGAAGAUGAAGCAAAUUCUGCAGAGCACCAGGGAGCUCACCAGCAACGGCCUUGCCAUGGUCACCGAGAUCUCCUCGCUGCUGGGCUCACUCAACAUCCCCGACGUGAGCCGGCGCCUCCUGACCGAGGAGCAGGACGGCAUCCCCGAGUUCCCGUCGUGGGUCAACGAGGGGCGACGCAAACUCCUCGCUGCUGCACCUAAGGACAUCAAGCCCGACGUGGUUGUGGCCCAGGACGGAAGCGGCAAGUACAAGACCAUCCGUGAGGCUCUGAACGAGGUUCCUAAGAAGAACAACAAGACCUUCGUCAUAUACAUCAAGGAAGGAGUGUACAAAGAGAAAGUACUGGUAGACAAGAAGACGACCAAUGUCAUGAUUAUCGGCGACGGCCUGACCAAGACCGUGAUCACCCGGAGCUUGAACUACGUCGAUGGAGUCUAAACCUGCAACACCGCAACAUUUCAGUAAAUACCAUUUGACAUUUUCACUUAAAUUCUUCAUUAAUUUAGUCUACAAGACAAGGGCUGAUAAACUAUGUCAAUUUAUGUUUCAGCUGCCAUAGGAAGCAACUCCAUAGCCAAGGACAUCAAGUUCGAGAACUCGGCAGGCGCCGAGAAGCACCAGGCCGUGGCGCUACGCGUCCAGUCCGACAUGUCCGUAAUUUACAACUACCACAUGGACGCCUUCCAGGACACCCUCUACACGCACGCCCACCGCCAGUUCUACCGCGACUGCACCAUCUCUGGCACCAUCAACUUCAUCUUCGGCGACGCGCUCGCCGUCUUUCAGAACUGCCAAAUGUUCGUGAAGAAGCCCCUUGAGAACCAGCAGUGCAUUGUCACCACGUCGGGACGCAGCGAGCGCCACUCCGCCUCAGCCAUCGUCCUCCAGAACUGCACCAUCUCGGCGGACCCCGCCUACUACCCCCUGCGCAACAUCAACAAGGCGUACCUCGGCCGCCCGUGGAAGGACUACUCGAGGACGAUCAUCAUGCAGUCCCAGAUCGACGAUCUGAUCCAGCCGCAGGGGUGGUUGGCAUGGAUGGGCAACUUCGCGCUCAACACGUGCUUCUAUGCGGAGUACGGGAACAGAGGGGCCGGCUCGGCGACGACGGGGAGAGCGAAGUGGCGCGGGAUCAAGAGCAUGACUGCGCAGCACAUCGUCGACUUCACGCCGAAGGCCUUCUUCAAGGGCGAUGAUGCAUGGAUCACCGCCACCGGAGUGCCUUACAGUCCUAAGUUGAUGGCGGUUUGAACGGAGGCAAACCAAGAAGAGGAUUGUUAGGUGUUUUUAUAGGUCGUAGUUGUUCAUGAAUGUCUUUUUGGAGGGGAAGCUGACCUCCUGCAUUUCAGCUAUGGGAGAAUGAUGGUCACAUGUUUUACAUUUGUCCAAGAUUCUCUCCCAAAAAUCUCAAUUAGAGACUGGUGUUUCACUUGUAGAGCUUAUUUUUGGACAAAAUAGUUGAAAGGGAAUCGCCCAAAUUGAAUGGUGGUGCAAUUUUUAAGGGAUAUUGCUCUUUAGAAACGUUUUCGCUAUAUUAUUCCUCGAUAUGAAUUUGUAAUCUAGGCAAAUUAAGCAUAAUAACCCUAGGCCAAACAACGUAUUUUCUAUUAUACUUGACUUGACUUGUCCAAUGAGAAAAAGUCUACGAAAACAAUCCAAAAUACACUAGUAGUGUUCAAACCCAUUAGAAGAAUUUAUGCAGCUUAGGAAACAUAUUCCACUUGUCUGCUCUCCUUACAAAAAGAAAUCCUCAAAACACAUUAUCCUCCAUCGUUAAACAUCAAUUUCUUUUGGUAAUUGAUAUAUCGAUAAUGAGAUAAGUCAAGAAUCUAAAAGGACUCGAAGCGAGUAAAUUUUGCCGAAAGAAUUUGCCUGGCUUAAUUUCUAAAACUACGGGGAAAAAAAGGAAGAAAUCUUAGCAAAGCCAAAUUUUGGGUUUGGUCAAAAUUCAGUCUUAUCAAAACUUUUCUUCGGAGUUUACCUAAGAUGGCAAAACUUGGAAGUCCUCAAGGUAGCACCUUGAAUUUUACAAACCGGGGUUAGCUAGCUAGUACCGCCUUCGCUGCCCAUAGAAUUAGCUAAAUGGGCUUCUAGAACACCGGUACAAGAGCCAAACCCUUUUCUCAGCGCCUCUUCGCCAACCCCUCAUGAAGCAUUUCCAUCCAAUAAAAAGAAAAAUAAUUUCCUCGACGUCAAGAACUUCACAACUUUAAAAAGUAAAAUCAUUUUAUGAAAUUGCAAAAAUAUAAGAAAAUAAAAAAAAAAUUAUGAAAAAGAAAAAGAUAAUUACACAGAUGAUUUUUGAAAUUUGAAUCAAUAUGUAAUAUCAUUUAAUGAUAAUCCUUAAAUUUUAACUCAACGUGCAAUAUUGUCUAUAAAUUAUUAAUUUAUAUAAUAUCAUUUUUAGAUUAAAUGAAAAUGUCUAACAUUAAUUUUGAAAUUAAAUUAAUAGAAUAAUAAUAUUAAAUAUUUUCAUAUAAUUUAAAAAUUAAAUUGAAUAUAUGUAGAAAUUCAGAUAUCUCAAUAAAUAAAUUAAAACUUAAUGGAUGGGAUUGUAAAUUUAAUUAAAGUUUGAGUUAUUUGAAUAAAUUAAUCGAAUCAUUGGAGUUUACUUUAGUAUCCACAAUUUCGACAUAGAACGGGGAGAUGAGAGGUUUGAAUCUCCACAUUUUCAAGGAGAGUUGUGAUGGAGACGAUUUAGUUUCAGAAAUAUGUUUCGACUCCUACCUAUUGCAAAUAGAUAUGGUAAAAGUCUGAUAUUGAGAAUUAGAGUAGGAAUAAAAUAAAAUCGAUAAAAAAAAAGAUAAAAGUCUGAAAGUGAGAAUUAGAAUAAAAAAAUAAUAAAAUUCACGAAAAUAAAUAAAUAAAUAAAUUAAUUAAUUAAUGGAGGCAAAUGGACUCGCGGUUCGUCAAAAUUGACUACUUUUGUCCGUUUGCGCUUUAGUCUUUCCCGGCGUCUAAACUUUGUCCUAUCGGCGAGCUCCUUGUAGCUCUCUCUAUCUCUCUCUCUCUCUCUCUCUCCUCGUAUCAUCAUCAUCAUCAUCAAUCGCAGGACUCCGAGGAACACGCUCUCUGCAGCAGCGAACUUUCAGUCAGGCAGAGUCCCAAAGAAACAAGAUGGAGACCAUCAAGCACCGCACGGUUAAGGUCAACGGCGUGAACCUCCACGUGGCGGAGAGCGGCGAGGGCCCGCUCGUCCUCCUCAUCCACGGCUUCCCGGAGCUCUGGUACACGUGGCGCCACCAGAUCCUCGGCCUCGCCGCGCUCGGCUUCCGCGCCGUCGCCCCCGACCUCCGCGGCUACGGGGACUCCGACGCCCCGGCGGCGGCGGACGCCUACACGGCCCUCCACGUGGUGGGCGACCUGGUGGGGCUCCUGGACGCGGUGGCGGCGGAGGGGGAGGAGAAGGCGUUCGUGGUGGCCCACGACGUGGGGGCCCAGAUGGCGUGGUAC